GUCCGGAGCUCGUAUUCCCAGACGCUGUGGAAACGGUCUACGAGAGACAUUGGAGUUACUUUGAAUUGACAUUGCUUCAAAACUCACUAGAUCCUAUAUGUUCCAGCAUAGCAUUUAUAUUAUUUAUUUCUGUUUUUGAAUGUUCUCUCCGAAAUAUUGUGAACAUCCUGGACACACAUCUAUGUAUAUUAUUAAGCUUGCCAGCCUGUAUUUCCUAUCCAAAUUCCACGCAAAAUGGGGCAAUCUCAGGAGGAAUAUCGUUCGUAGUGUGCGACACAAUUUGUGGUAAAGCCAAGUCCGACCAACUAGAAAUGCACGGAAAAACAUGUGUAAGCAGCGGAGUAAAUGGCUCCAUCUCCAGAUUCAGCGCUUGUUUGUGUUAUGGAUACUAAAAAGUAAAACAACGGCGACGUUGACGACGAUGGCAAGUACAUGAAAAAGUCAACAACAAAUAGUGAGACCAAGCAGCAUCAGCAUCAGCACCAGCAAGAACAACAGCAACAACAACAACUGUUUUGGGGGCAACAAGAACAACUAACGCAUUUUGUUUGCACGACGAACUCAUGACUCAUUUUUGUACAUUUGUCAAAAUUUUUGCCAUACAUCAUUUUAAACAGUGCGCGACAUCGGCGAGGCCAAGGGGCAGGACCAGAGUCGUUGUGGGUACCAGUUGGAAAAUUAUGCACUGCCACCAGCAAUGCCAACCGAGCCACAGUGGUCAGAAAGUGGCGAAAUAACGCAAGGAGCAGAAAAUUAAACAGUAUUAUAGUAGUACAAAAUAUAAUAGCAUGAAAUCAAUAGCACGUUAAAUAGUAAGUCAGAAAAGAAAAUAAAUUAUUAUUAUAAAAUAUAACUAAA